UACGUAGGGUGCAAGCGUUACUUGGAAUUACUGGGCGUAAAGCGUGCGCAGGCGGUUUUGUAAGUCUGUCGUGAAAUCCCCGGGCUUAACCUGGGAAUUGCGAUGGAGACUGCAAGGCUAGAAUCUGGCAGAGGGGGGUAGAAUUCCACGUGUAGCAGUGAAAUGCGUAGAGAUGUGGAGGAACACCGAUGGCGAAGGCAGCCCCCUGGGUCAAGAUUGACGCUCAUGCACGAAAGCGUGGGGAGCAAACAGG
rnacentral:rRNA from 1 species